UACGGGGGGAGCAAGCGUUGUUCGGAUUUACUGGGCGUAAAGGGCGCGUAGGCGGCCACCGCAAGUCGAUUGUGAAAUCUCCGGGCUUAACCCGGAAAGGUCAACCGAUACUGCGGGGCUAGAGUGCAGAAGGGGCAACUGGAAUUCUCGGUGUAGCGGUGAAAUGCGUAGAGAUCCGGAGGAACACCAAAGGCGAAAGGCAGUGUGCCUGGGGAGUACCUGACGCUCAGGUGCGAAAGCCAGGGGAGCGAAACGGGGAU
rnacentral:rRNA from 1 species